rnacentral:rRNA from 1 species
AUUGAACGCUGGCGGCAUGCCUAACACAUGCAAGUCGAACGGUAACAGGGAGCUUGCUCCGCUGACGAGUGGCGAACGGGUGAGUAAUGCGUCGGAGCGUGCCGAGUAGUGGGGGAUAACGCAGCGAAAGUUGUGCUAAUACCGCAUACGUACUGAGGUAGAAAGUGGGGGACCUUCGGGCCUCACGCUAUUCGAGCGGCCGACGUCUGAUUAGCUAGUAGGGGAGGUAAAGGCUCACCUAGGCGACGCUCAGUAGCGGGUCUGAGAGGAUGAACCGCCACGCUGGGACUGAGACACGGCCCAGACUCCUACGGGAGGCAGCAGUGGGGAAUUUUGGACAAUGGGCGAAAGCCUGAUCCAGCCAUGCCGCGUGUCUGAAGAAGGCCUUCGGGUUGUAAAGGACUUUUGUCGGGGAGGAAAUCCCCAGCGCUAAUACCGCUGGGGGAUGACAGUACCUGAAGAAUAAGCACCGGCUAACUACGUGCCAGCCGCCGCAGUAACAC